rnacentral:rRNA from 1 species
CCUACGGGAGGCAGCAGUGAGGAAUAUUGGUCAAUGGGCGAGAGCCUGAUCCAGCCAAGUCGCGUGAGGGAGUACUGCCCUAUGGGUUGUAAACCUCUUUUGUCGGGGAGCAAAAGCCGGACGUGUCCGGCUGUUAGAGUACCCGAAGAAAAAGCAUCGGCUAACUCCGUGCAAGCAGCCGCGGUAAUACGGAGGAUGCGAGCGUUAUCCGGAUUUAUUGGGGUUAAAGGGUGCGCAGGGGGAUUUUUAAGUCAGCGGUAAAAUCGUGGGGAUAAACCCCAUCCAGCCGUUGAAACUGGGGAUCUAGAGUGUGAGAGAGGUAUGCGGAAGGCGUGGUGUAGCGGUGAAAUGCAUAGAUAUCACGCAGAACCCCGAUUGCGAAGGCAGCAUACCGGUGCACAACUGACGCUCAGGCACGAAAGCGUGGGUAUCGAACAGGAUUAGAUACCCGGGUAGUC